rnacentral:tRNA from 1 species
CAGGGAGACAAAAACUGAUCAUGAUGUCUGAGUUUUGAUUCUCAGGCCUUGAUCCUGUCACCUUAGGUCGAUCGGUACCUCAGAUUAAAUUCAAGAAGCUCUAUUUAUUUUAGUUUUUCUGAGUUGAUUUCAGUUCCUAAACUUGUCUAGGUCACACCCCGCAAGGGUUACUCCUGGGCCAUUAGCUCAGGUGGUUAGGGCGCACCCCUGAUAAGGGUGAGGUCCCUGGUUCAAGUCCAGGAUGGCCCAUUCGGUGUUGGGGGUUUAGCUCAGUUGGUAGAGCGCCUGCUUUGCAAGCAGGAUGUCAGCGGUUCGAGUCCGCUAACCUCCACUGACCGCCCCUUUGGAACCUUUAGGGAGUUCCGUUGCGUGUGUGAUUUAGGAAAUUCAGCUGAGAGAGAACCUAGCUUCUUAUCAUUCCAAUCCCAAAUCAAGAGAAAUAUUUGGGUAAGGUUGACAGGACGCUGGGCUCAUUGGGAUUGCAAAAUCCCAAUAUGUUCGGCAGAACCUUGACAACUGCAUAGGUGAGUCUAGAAAAGAAAAAGCAUCUCAUAGAUGCAUAGUUUCUUUAUAAAAGGAACUAUGUUUUAACUCUUGAGUAAGAGCUGAGACUCUAUAUCGAUCUUUUUAUGCGAAAGCAUUAAGAGUUAGAUCUUCAAUUCUCUUGAAUUGUUGAGAAGACGUUUUAACUACGUUAUUUGGUAUAGAGAUUGUUU